rnacentral:rRNA from 1 species
UGAAACCUUAUUCAGUUGUCUCAAAGGACGCGGGUUUAAUCUUGAAAAUACGCGCUUGACAGACCCUAGACGAGUGAAAAAAUUGAUUGCGGUGUUAGCUAUAAGCUUCUGUUGGUGUUACUUAACGGGUGAAUGGCAACAUGA